rnacentral:rRNA from 1 species
GACGAACGCUGGCGGCGCGCUUAACACAUGCAAGUCGAGCGAUGAAACUUUAACAGAACCCUUCGGAGCGUAGCUACGGUCGAUUAGCGGCGGACUGGUGAAUAACACGUUAGUACCCUGCCUUCGACAUUGAGAUAGUCCCGGGAACCCGUGAUUAAUACCAACUAAAAUCAUAAUGACACAUGUCGUAACGAUCAUCACUCCGGUGUUCUACGAUGGACCCGCGUCCCAUUAGCUAGUUGGUAGAGUAACAGCCUACCAAGGCGACGCUGGGUAGCCGGCAUGAGAGGGUGAGCGGACACAUUGGAACUGAGAAACGGUCCAAAAUCUUACGGGAGGGAGCAGAGGGGAAUAGUGCAAAAUGGAGGGAGCUCUGAUGCAGCGACGACGGGUGAACUAAGUAGGCUUGCGAGUCGUAAAGUGCUUGUAUAUGGGAAGAUAAUGACGGUACCAAAAGAAAAAGCCACGGCUAACUACGUG